GGAAAAAUGAGUAAUAUUGGUUUAGUAGUUAAUUUUCUUUUUUCUUUAUUUUUAUAAAUUUUUAGGUGAAAUUUUAAUUUUAAUAGUAAAGGUUUAUUUAAUGAAGCUAUAAAAUUUAUAUUAAAGACAAGGAUUAGAUACCCUUUUAUUAUAAAUGUAAAUAGAAACUAGGGUAGUAAUAGUUAUGUUCUUGAAACCCAAAGGAUUUGGCGGUAUUUUAUUCUUUUUAGAGGAACCUGUCCCGUGAUCGACAGUCCACGAGGUUAGUUACUUAUUUUUGUUUACAGUUUGUAUACCUCCGUCAUCAGAGUAUCUUUUUAGAGUAAAUACUCUUAUUAUAGAAAAUAUAUUAUGUCAGGUCAAGGUGCAAUUUAUGAAUAAGUGGAGAUGGGUUACAAUAAAAUUAUUUAUAUGGAUUAUAUUAUUUAUAUUUUAUAUGAAGGUGGAUUUAAAAGUAAAAUUGAUUUCUUAUUAAUUUGAUUUUAGCUCUGAAAUAUGCACACAUCGCCCGUCGCUCUUAUUUUAAAAUAAGAUAAGUCGUAACAUAGUAGAUGUAUCGGAAGAUGUAUCUAGAAAGAGUUAA
rnacentral:rRNA from 1 species